rnacentral:rRNA from 1 species
UACGAAGGGGGCUAGCGUUGUUCGGAUUUACUGGGCGUAAAGCGCACGUAGGCGGAUCUUUAAGUCAGAGGUGAAAUCCCAAGGCUCAACCUUGGAACUGCCUUUGAUACUGGGGAUCUUGAGUCCGGGAGAGGUGAGUGGAACCGCGAGUGUAGAGGUGAAAUUCGUAGAUAUUCGCAAGAACACCAGUGGCGAAGGCGGCUCACUGGCCCGGUACUGACGCUGAGGUGCGAAAGCGUGGGGAGCAAACAGG